GCAGGAGCAUCCACCGCUGCAGCAGUUUGCACAGCUGAGAAGUCCGAGAUUCAAGAGGGGAGGAGGUGGGAGAGGCUGGAGGAUGGUGGGGUGGCAGUGACAGCUCCGGGCCCGCCCGGGCUGGGCGGCGCAGGUGCGCUGGGGGCGCGGGGCACCCGAGCCCGGGCGCAGGUGCGCGGGGGCGCGGGGCGCGGGGCGCACGGGCGGGCAAAUAGCUGACAGCAUCGUCACGGCGGCGCGAGGCAGCUCGCGCCCCGCCUACCUGCGGGAGGAGCCCGUAUCCGCACAGCCUGCGCUGCCCGGUCCUAUUCGAGGCGAGCUCAGAAGCAGCUCUGGGAAGAGUUGUGUUCAUCCUCAGGUGCUUCCUAGUUAAU
rnacentral:lncRNA from 1 species